rnacentral:rRNA from 1 species
UGUAAGCGUAUACCAAAGUUGUUGCAGUUAAAACGCUCGUAGUCGGACUUUGGCAGCUCCGGAUGUGUGCACGUCGUGUGCGCACUUCGCGGGGAUUGCUUUUGUGGUCUUGCGUAGGAUGAGGCACUUUUAUUAGUGAACGUCCUCACGCAACCACUUUUUACUGUGAGAAAAUCAGAGUGCUCAAAGCAGGCAUUUGCCGUGAAUGUAUUAGCAUGGAAUAAUAGAAUAGGACUUGGUUCUAUUUUGUUGGUUUGUUGGGACUGAGUAAUGAUUAAGAGGGACAGUUGGGGGCAUUUGUAUUUCGGUGCUAGAGGUGAAAUUCUUAGAUUACCGAAAGACAAACUGCUGCGAAAGCGUCUGCCAAGGAUGUUUUCAUUGA